ACGCGGCUGGUGUAAUGGUUUAGCGCAUGGGGCCUCCAAUCUCGAUAUCUGGUUUCGAUUCCCAAGUUGUGUA